AUUGAACGCUGGCGGCAGGCCUAACACAUGCAAGUCGAGCGAGCGGCGGACGGGUGAGUAAUGUCUGGGAAACUGCCUGAUGGAGGGGGAUAACUACUGGAAACGGUAGCUAAUACCGCAUACCAUCAGAUGUGCCCAUAUGGGAUUAGCUAGUAGGUAGGGUAACGGCUCACCUCGGCGACGAUCCCUAGCUGGUCUGAGAGGAUGACCAGCAACACUGGAACUGAGACACGGUCCAGAAUCCUACGGGAGGCAGCAGUGGGGAAUAUUGCACAAUGGGCGCAAGCCUGAUGCAGCCAUGCCGCGUGUAUGAAGAAGGCCUUCGGGUUGUAAAGUACUUUCAGCGGGGAGGCGUUACCCGCAGAAGAAGCACCGGCUAACUCCGUGCCAGCAGCCGCGGUAAUUC
rnacentral:rRNA from 1 species